AGAGUUUGAUCCUGGCUCAGGAUGAACGAUAGCUACAGGCUUAACACAUGCAAGUCGAGGGGCAGCGGGAUUGAAGCUUGCUUCAAUUGCCGGCGACCGGCGCACGGGUGAGUAACGCGUAUCCAACCUUCCGUACACUCAGGGAUAGCCUUUCGAAAGAAAGAUUAAUACCUGAUGGUAUGAUGAGAUUGCAUGGUAUCAUCAUUAAAGAUUUAUCGGUGUACGAUGGGGAUGCGUUCCAUUAGGUAGUAGGCGGGGUAACGGCCCACCUAGCCAACGAUGGAUAGGGGUUCUGAGAGGAAGGUCCCCCACAUUGGAACUGAGACACGGUCCAAACUCCUACGGGAGGCAGCAGUGAGGAAUAUUGGUCAAUGGACGAGAGUCUGAACCAGCCAAGUAGCGUGAAGGAUGAAGGUCCUACGGAUUGUAAACUUCUUUUAUAAGGGAAUAAACCCUCCCACGUGUGGGAGCUUGUAUGUACCUUAUGAAUAAGCAUCGGCUAACUCCGUGCCAGCAGCCGCGGUAAUACGGAGGAUGCGAGCGUUAUCCGGAUUUAUUGGGUUUAAAGGGAGCGCAGACGGGUCGUUAAGUCAGCUGUGAAAGUUUGGGGCUCAACCUUAAAAUUGCAGUUGAUACUGGCGUCCUUGAGUGCGGUUGAGGUGUGCGGAAUUCGUGGUGUAGCGGUGAAAUGCUUAGAUAUCACGAAGAACUCCGAUUGCGAAGGCAGCACACUAAUCCGUAACUGACGUUCAUGCUCGAAAGUGUGGGUAUCAAACAGGAUUAGAUACCCUGGUAGUCCACACGGUAAACGAUGGAUACUCGCUGUUGGCGAUAUACUGUCAGCGGCUUAGCGAAAGCGUUAAGUAUCCCACCUGGGGAGUACGCCGGCAACGGUGAAACUCAAAUGAAUUGACGG
rnacentral:rRNA from 1 species